UACAGAGGGUGCAAGCGUUGCUCGGAAUCAUUGGGCGUAAAGGGCAGGUAGGUGGUCUCAUUUGUCUGGGGUGAAAGCCUUGGGCUUAACCCAAGAAGUGCCUCGGAAACGGUGAGACUUGAGUACUGGAGAGGGUCGUGGAAUUCCCGGUGUAGCGGUGAAAUGCGUAGAGAUCGGGAGGAACACCAAAGGCGAAGGCAGUGUCCUGGGAGGCACCUGACGCUCAGGCGCGAAAGCCAGGGGAGCGAACGGG
rnacentral:rRNA from 1 species